GUUGUAAAAGAUGCAGCUGAAAGGGGAGUGAAAUUAAUAACUGAUUUCAAUGACAAAAUUACUAAAGACGAGGAACAAAAACAAUUUUUGAUGCAGACAGUUUACGACUACCGGCAUAAGUAUCCUGACGCGAAACGAAGUACACUUUCAAAACACAUUUGAAAAUGUAUAACAAUUUAAAAUUUUACAUUAUAAAUACUAAUUUAAAUAAUAUACUACUUAAGUUCUAAAAUUUUUCUCCUAGAUAUAUAUUUUUUAAAUAAAUUCAUUGUCUACAAAUAAUAUGAUGUACACUUUUUUCAUUAAUUAAAAUAAUUUUUGAGGUAUAUAAAAAAAAACGAAAAUACACCCUCUUAAAAGAAAUUUCAACCCUCUUGAGACACGUCUUAGGGUUGCACUAUCGUUAUAAAAUUACACAGAUAUUAUUUUUUUAUGGUUUAUUUUCAAAUUCGAAGGUGGCGCAGUUGAAAUGUUGAUUUUCAAUUUUAAGGACCACCCUAAUAUACAUAUAUAUAUAUGAUUCUUUAAUACAUAAUUUUUUUUUGAAAUAUUUU